rnacentral:rRNA from 1 species
CCUACGGGUGGCAGCAGUGAGGAAUAUUGGUCAAUGGGCGCGAGCCUGAACCAGCCAAGUCGCGUGAGGGAAGACGGUCCUGUGGAUUGUAAACCUCUUUUGUCGGGGAGCAAAAGACGCCACGCGUGGCGUUCCGAGAGUACCCGAAGAAAAAGCAUCGGCUAACUCCGUGCCAGCAGCCGCGGUAAUACGGAGGAUGCGAGCGUUAUCCGGAUUUAUUGGGUUUAAAGGGUGCGCAGGCGGAAGAUCAAGUCAGCGGUAAAAUUGAGGGGCUCAACCUCUUCGAGCCGGUGAAACUGGUGUUCUUGAGUGGGUGAGAAGUAUGCGGAAUGCGUGGUGUAGCGGUGAAAUGCAUAGAUAUCACGCAGAACUCCGAUUGCGAAGGCAGCAUACCGGCGCCCAACUGACGCUCAUGCACGAAAGUGUGGGUAUCGAACAGGACUAGAUACCCUUGUAGUC